AGAGUUUGAUUCUGGCUCAGAUUGAACGCUGGCGGCAGGCCUAACACAUGCAAGUCGAACGGUAACAGGAAGCAGCUUGCUGCUUUGCUGACGAGUGGCGGACGGGUGAGUAAUGUCUGGGAAACUGCCUGAUGGAGGGGGAUAACUACUGGAAACGGUAGCUAAUACCGCAUAACGUCGCAAGACCAAAGAGGGGGACCUUAGGGCCUCUUGCCAUCGGAUGUGCCCAGAUGGGAUUAGCUAGUAGGUGGGGUAACGGCUCACCUAGGCGACGAUCCCUAGCUGGUCUGAGAGGAUGACCAGCCACACUGGAACUGAGACACGGUCCAGACUCCUACGGGAGGCAGCAGUGGGGAAUAUUGCACAAUGGGCGCAAGCCUGAUGCAGCCAUGCCGCGUGUAUGAAGAAGGCCUUCGGGUUGUAAAGUACUUUCAGCGGGGAGGAAGGGAGUAAAGUUAAUACCUUUGCUCAUUGACGUUACCCGCAGAAGAAGCACCGGCUAACUCCGUGCCAGCAGCCGCGGUAAUACGGAGGGUGCAAGCGUUAAUCGGAAUUACUGGGCGUAAAGCGCACGCAGGCGGUUUGUUAAGUCAGAUGUGAAAUCCCCGGGCUCAACCUGGGAACUGCAUCUGAUACUGGCAAGCUUGAGUCUCGUAGAGGGGGGUAGAAUUCCAGGUGUAGCGGUGAAAUGCGUAGAGAUCUGGAGGAAUACCGGUGGCGAAGGCGGCCCCCUGGACGAAGACUGACGCUCAGGUGCGAAAGCGUGGGGAGCAAACAGGAUUAGAUACCCUGGUAGUCCACGCCGUAAACGAUGUCGACUUGGAGGUUGUGCCCUUGAGGCGUGGCUUCCGGAGCUAACGCGUUAAGUCGACCGCCUGGGGAGUACGGCCGCAAGGUUAAAACUCAAAUGAAUUGACGGGGGCCCGCACAAGCGGUGGAGCAUGUGGUUUAAUUCGAUGCAACGCGAAGAACCUUACCUGGUCUUGACAUCCACGGAAGUUUUCAGAGAUGAGAAUGUGCCUUCGGGAACCGUGAGACAGGUGCUGCAUGGCUGUCGUCAGCUCGUGUUGUGAAAUGUUGGGUUAAGUCCCGCAACGAGCGCAACCCUUAUCCUUUGUUGCCAGCGGUCCGGCCGGGAACUCAAAGGAGACUGCCAGUGAUAAACUGGAGGAAGGUGGGGAUGACGUCAAGUCAUCAUGGCCCUUACGACCAGGGCUACACACGUGCUACAAUGGCGCAUACAAAGAGAAGCGACCUCGCGAGAGCAAGCGGACCUCAUAAAGUGCGUCGUAGUCCGGAUUGGAGUCUGCAACUCGACUCCAUGAAGUCGGAAUCGCUAGUAAUCGUGGAUCAGAAUGCCACGGUGAAUACGUUCCCGGGCCUUGUACACACCGCCCGUCACACCAUGGGAGUGGGUUGCAAAAGAAGUAGGUAGCUUAACCUUCGGGAGGGCGCUUACCACUUUGUGAUUCAUGACUGGGGUGAAGUCGUAACAAGGU
rnacentral:rRNA from 1 species